rnacentral:misc_RNA from 1 species
AUUCGGUAUUCGGUCAUAUCGGAGCAUCUCGUACGUAGAUCCUUCUUUUCCGAGGCAACGGCAGUAUGGCCGCAACAGUCGAAGCGACGGGGUCAUCGGGAGCGACAUCGAUGGUAGCGCCUACAAACUUGGACAGGACAAAAAAGGAGAAAGAGAGGGGAGAGAAAGAAAGAGAAAUAUCGGGGUUUUCCGUCUUGGAUUCCAUGGCAGUUCAGCUUCGGCGACAGAAGCAGCGACAUCAGUAGCAAGGCAGGUCCUUCAGAGCGACGAUGGAGAGAGAGAACGAUGAGCAUUGGGCCAUGGAACCAAAUCAGGACAUCAACGAGUCACUCCGAAGAUCGACUCCUCUUCUUAUUGUUCCGGUAGAGACAUGGAUCUGCAACACAUGAGACGUACAACUCCUUUUUUUUGCAGAGGUAUGUUUCAUUUAAUCUAUCCCUUUCGAGAGUCCCUGGUAUAAUCUAACAUUCAGAGUCUCAGUACAUGAAUUGCACCCCCUUAGAAAAGAUUUUCA